UUUUUAUUUUCUUUUAUUUUUGUGUGUAGUUAAAUGAUGUAGCUUUCGAUCUUUCAAAUGGACCGGUCAUUGAUGAGUGUGGUCAAGAGCUGGGAGAACUCCUGUUAAAUCUCUCUCGAGCACGGGAAUUAGCUGACAUAUCAACUUCCCGUGCUUUAGCUAGCAAGCUCCCUAUGCUGGAGGGUACUUUGACAAAUAAGGUCAAG
rnacentral:misc_RNA from 1 species